GACGAACGCUGGCGGCGUGCUUAACACAUGCAAGUCGAACGGAAAGGCCCUGCUUUUGUGGGGUGCUCGAGUGGCGAACGGGUGAGUAACACGUGAGUAACCUGCCCUUGACUUUGGGAUAACUUCAGGAAACUGGGGCUAAUACCGGAUAUGAUCUCCUGCUGCAUGGUGGGGGUUGGAAAGUUUCGGCGGUUGGGGAUGGACUCGCGGCUUAUCAGCUUUUUGGUGGGGUAGUGGCUUACCAAUGCUUUGACGGGUAGCCGGCCUGAGAGGGUGACCGGCCAAAUUGGGAAUGAGAUACGGACCAGACUACUACGGGAGGCAGCAGUGGGGAAUAUUGCAAAAUGGGCGGAAGCCUGAUGCAGCAAAGCCGCGUGCGGGAUGACGGCCUUCGGGUUGUAAACCGCUUUCGCCUGUGACGAAGCGUGAGUGACGGUAAUGGGUAAAGAAGCACCGGCUAACUACGUG
rnacentral:rRNA from 1 species